UAGAAUAUGGCAGCAAUUCACUUUAACUAUUUAGUAGGUUUCCAAUAAUUUUUGUUCGCGCUUAUGUUUCUGUUUCUACAGAACCUAAGCACAUCGUGAAGGGCAUACCUCUAUAUCGACCGUGCUCCUUUGCCUCCUGGUCAGCGUGUUCACUCUGGAAAGCGACGGUGGCUACGAGGACCUGUUGAUCUCCGUCCAGUGCUACAUUGAGCCAAGUGAUGUCUUCGUACAGAACCUCAAGGCGCUACUACAGUCAUCGUCGCAGCUCCUUCACCUGGAAACAAAAGGCAGUGUGUACUUCAAGCACGUGACCAUCGACUUCCCUAAGACGACGUGCGCGGCCAGUGAGAAGCAGCGGCUGACGUUUCAGAUCGCAAUACUGGACCACUUCUCCAAAGGCCAUUGAACAUUCAAGAACUCGAACGGCCGCAGUCAUCGCGGAGACUUCAUUCGUGUGUCGCCGCUACUGGACGGUCACGUAGAAUUUGCCUAAGCACAAGUGCGCCAAUGUUAUAGAACAGCGUGUCCAAAUUAUGAAAUUUGCUGUUUCACCUGA
rnacentral:lncRNA from 1 species